UACGUAGGUGGCAAGCGUUGUCCGGAUUUACUGGGCGUAAAGGGCGUGCAGGCGGUUUGUUAAGUGCAGGGUGAAAGCUCCCGGCUCAACUGGGAGAGGUCCUUGCAUACUGGCAAACUCGAGGGAGGCAGAGGAAAGUGGAAUUCCCGGUGUAGUGGUGAUAUGCGUAGAUAUCGGGGAGGAACACCUGGUGGCGAAGGGCGGCCUUUCG
rnacentral:rRNA from 1 species